ACGCUGCGGCAGGCUUACACGAUGCAAGUCGAGGGGUAUGCUUCUUCGGAAGCAGAGACCGGCGCACGGGUGCUGUAACGCGUAUGCAAUCUACCUUUUACAGAGGGAUAGCCCAGAGAAAUUUGGAUUAAUACCUCAUAGUAUCAGCAGUUGUCGCAUGAAACCAGCUAUUAAAGUCACAACUGGUAACAAGAUGAGCAGUGCGUCCCAUUAGCUAGUUGGUAAGUGUAACGGCUUGACCAAGGCUACGAUGGGUAGGGGUCCUGACGAGGGAGAUCCCCCACACUGGUACUGAGUACACGGACCAGACUCCUACGGGAGGCAGCAGUGAGGAAUAUUGGACAAUGGGCGCAAGCCUGAUCCAUGCCAUGCCUGCGUGCAUGGAUGACGGUCCUCAUGGAUUGUAAACUGCUUUUAUAGCGAGAAGAAACACUGGUACGUGUAGCAGCUUGACAGGUAUCGUCAAGAAUCAAGGAUCGGUAACUCCGUGCCAGCAGUCCGCGGUAAUACGGAGGAUCCAAGGUUAUCCGGAAUCAUUGGGUUUACAGGGGUCCGAGGCGGUUCAAUUAAGUCAGUGGGUGAAGCCCUUCGUUCACCGGUGGAACGGCAUUGAUACUGUUGGACUUGAAUUGUUAGGAAGUAACUAGAAUAUGUAGUGUAGCGGUGAAAUGCUUAGAGAUUACAUGGAAUACCAAUUGCGAAGGCAGGUUAACUGACUAAUUUGAUUGACGCUGAUGGAC
rnacentral:rRNA from 1 species